rnacentral:rRNA from 1 species
AACACCCGUUCCCAUUCCGAACACGACGGUUAAGCCUUUAGAAGCCGAUGGUACUGCACGGGAGACUGUGUGGGAGAGUAGGUGGUCGCCAGGU